rnacentral:rRNA from 1 species
UACGUAGGGGGCAAGCGUUGUCCGGAAUUAUUGGGCGUAAAGCGCGCGCAGGCGGUUCGUUAAGUCUGGUGUUUAAUCCCGGGGCUCAACCCCGGGUCGCACUGGAAACUGGUGGACUUGAGUACAGAAGAGGAAAGUGGAAUUCCACGUGUAGCGGUGAAAUGCGUAGAGAUGUGGAGGAACACCAGUGGCGAAGGCGACUUUCUGGUCUGUAACUGACGCUGAGGCGCGAAAGCGUGGGGAGCAAACAGG